UGGCAUAACGGUUAAAGCACUUGGCUGCUAACCAAAAGGUCGGUGGUUGGAACCCACC
rnacentral:tRNA from 1 species